UUGUUCUCUAAGCAUGCCUUUCUUUGAAUCCUAUAAAUUAUUUGUCCUUAAAAUACACAGGCAAAAAUAAAAUGACCAGAAUUUUAACGCUAAUGAGAAUUUUAAUCAGAGCUAAGGUUAGGAACUGGAUUCCCCUGCAUUCUUGAAUGAGUAAAAAAAAAAAUUGCUUCAAACAAGUGGGUGUGGAGGAUCAGUCUUGUUUUGAAAUUGAACAAAUUCUGACAGCAGUCAGAGAGCAGCUGUCUGUCAAUGUCAGGGUCAGGGUCUAGACUCCGAUGAAGGAGUGAAAACACCUAUGCACUCUGCUUUCAUAGGGGGAUGAUUCUUAUCUACAUAUGCGUAUUCUCAGAGCAGAAGACUGCUUGACCUUGAGUACCUGGUGUGUUUCACUGAAACUGCCAGGACAGCCUUAAGGAUGUCUGUUUCAGAUCAGAGAUUGAAAACCCGCCCUCCGUGGGCCCAGCGGGAAGAUCAUGUUCUAUUUGGCCUGCGGGUAUUUAUUUUUAAUUAAGCCCAUAUUUAAAAAUCAGAAGAUCUAUUUUUAAAAAUGAAACACCAGGGUUCCUGUUGUGGCUCAGAGGAAACGAAUCUGACUAGCAUCCAUGAGAACGGAGGUUCAAUCCCUGGCUUCACUCUGUGGGUUGGGGAUCCAGUGUUGCCAUGAGCCAUGGUAUAAGUCAUAGACAUGGCUCAGAUCUGGUGUUGCUGUGGCUGUGGCGUAGGCUGAUGGCUACAGCUCCAAUUCAACCCCUCACCUGGAACUCUCCAUAUGCCUUGGGUGCAGCUCUAAAAAAAAGACAAUAUAAAAAUAAAAUAAAAUAAAAUUUAAUUUAAAUAAAAUAAGAAACACCAACCCACAUUCCCUAAGCUGGGAAUAACUGGAGUUGAAUAACUGUACAUGGUAUCUCUCUUUAUUAUAUUUUAGUCCCACUAACCCCUAUUGUCUCUCUGACACUGAGACUAUAUUUAUAUAAGUCCCUUGUACCAACAGCUUCCCUUUUUGUGUUAGCUCUCUUGAAGCUAUAGAUGUUGAGCUGUGGAGGCCGAACUAGAUGGAUCCUAAGUACUGCUAGGCUCCCCAGGGCUCUGAGUGUAUUCAUGAAAUUGCUGCGCCUCUACAAAGUAGAGACAUUGUCAUGAAAUUAACUCCCAGAAACUUUUAUGAGACUCUAAACAGUGUCUAACAUCAAAAUACAUAGAUUCUCUGAAAGGUUAAUGAAUACACACUGAGUUGACCUGGUCCAUCAAUAAGAGAAUAGUGGAGAGUGGAAAUUGUUGGCUAGCUUGCUAUUUAUUUAUUUUUUUAAUUUUUUAAAUUUUUUGUCUUUUUGCCAUUUCUUGGGCCAUUCCUGUGGCAUAUGGAGUUUCCCAGGCUAGGGGUCCAAUCGGAGCUGUAGCUGUCAGCCUACACCACAGCUCACAGCAACGCCAGAUCCUUAACCCACUGAGCAAGGGCAGGGAUCGAACCCGCAACCUCAUGGUUCCUAGUCAGAUUCAUUAACCACUGAGCCACGACAGGAGCUCCUAGCUUGCUUUUUACUGUACCACACGUUGCAAAAAUAAAAAUAAAUAAAACGUUUGAACAAUAUUUAUGUAUUCUCUGACCACAAGUUUACACUGGAUUGCUUUAUGUAUUUUUAAAUGCACCAUAUCUUUACUCUAUGUACACCGCCUUCUGUAGACAGUACACUUGCAAAGCCUCCUGAAAGCCGAAAGCAUAUCUCAAGCUUUCAAUGGAUGGUGCAUGCUAUUUGGUAGGCCUGGCCUGGAGAAUAAACCAUCUGGACUGGUUUAAACCCACAUCCCCGUGUGUAGCUGUGUCGGUGCAACGGAGGAAAGCCCCGCCAAGGAUGGGCGUCAGCUGUGCUUCCAACCCUUGCAUGUGGCCAACCGGAUCCCUGCGUGGGUCUGGCCACUUGAUUGUGCAGAACUGCUCUGUUAAUAAGGCUGCAAAUGAGCGGACUCUGUCAGGGUGGAUUUCUUAGUGUCGGAAAGAAAGACAAAUGCCUUUGGGGGACAACAAGACGGAAAGCGCGGGCAGACCUCUUAAGUAGAAAAAGCCCUUGCCACCCAGUUCUCUGAAAUCUCUCCUACUUUCUCAACCCCGGCUGCCACACUCCUUUCCUCAUCAUACUUCACAGCCUGCCGCCCCCACGUGGUGCCUCCCACCCGGCUUCUAAAAACAUCCUCGCACCUAAUUAUUAAUCCUAAAGUGCCGGUGCUCCAGCAGCUUCACUCCAAGAAGACAGCGCUGAGAAUAGUAUCAAUGGAAGCCAACAAGGGACACAGUGCUCCGUGGACGCCGUGCUUGCUUGGGACAGAGUGUCUUUCCUUAGCAGGUGUCAUGUCACCUGAAAUGUAGUCAUCACGUACAAAAGACCAGAGGUGUUCAGAUUCUUUAUGGAUAAAGUUAAGGUUUUUUUCCCUUAGUGAUUUUCAAGAAACUUAAAUUUAGUUACACUUAAAUUUAGUUACACUGAAACUUUAAUGCUCUCUUAUGAAACUAUUCUUCUAUUCCCCUGGUGCUUAUUUUCAUGCUUAAAAUUACAGUGAUGGGUUUUUAAAGAUGAUCCCUCUGGGGUUUGUGGCUUUUGAGUGGUGAGUCCAGCUCUCAGGAAGAGAUGAUCAAAGUUAAUAAGCUGAGAGUUCCCGCCGUGGCUUAGCGGUAACAGAGCUGACUAGGAUCCAUGAGGACAUAAGUUCACUCCCUGGCCCUACUCAGGGGGUUAAGGAUCUGCCAUCACCGUGAGUUGUGGUAUAGGUCACAGACAUGGCUCAGACCUGGCAUUGCUGUGGCUGUGGUGUAGGCUGGCAGCUGUAGCUCCAAUUUGACCUCUAGCCUUGAACCUCCGUAUGCCUCAAGUGUGGCCCUAAAAAGACAAAAAAAAAAAAAAAAAAAAAAGUUAAUAAGCCAGCUGGACUGGGUUGAGGUCACAUUGGUACUUCUGCUUUUGUAUUUUUGUUGUUGUUGUUGUUUUUUUUUUUGUUUUUUGUCUUUUUGCUUUUGUAAAUCAAUGAAAAACGUUCCUCAAACUGGAAACAGGAAUUUAUUUAGGAGAUGAAGUACAGAAUGUGGGAGGAGGCUUUGCCAAGGACUCUGAUUUAAGUAAGAUAGAUGCUUGGAUUAUUUAAUAAGUUAGUGUUGAGUUCUUUAUAUGUUAGACCCUCUGUUAUGUGCUAGGGAUUCAAAGUUGAAUAAAACACAGUCUGGGGGAGGAAGCAACUAGGAGGAUGGGAAUAUCAUACACACACUAGUAUAUAAAAUAAAUCAUUAAUAAGAACCGACUGUAUAGCACAGGGAAAUUACUCAAUAGUUCGUAAUAAUCCAUAUGGGAAAAAAAGCAUGGAUAUAUGUAUAACUGAUUCACUUUGCUGUACACCUGAAACUAAUACAACAUUAUAAGUCAACGAUACACCCAUAAUUUUGUUUUAAGUAGCCGGAAUGCUCAAAUAAUUCCCAGACUAGUGGGCUAGAUAAACUCGUUCAUAAAUAGGGCUCUGCAAAGUUACAAGAGGCUCCUUUCCUGGUUCGGAUCUCCGGGAUUUCCCCCAGCAGCCUAAUAACCAGGCUGCUUUCUGGGUCCCAACCAAGCCCCCCUGUGCCUCCCUCUUCCUUCCUUAGGCCCUAGUGAGUCAGCUCAAUUUCCGUCCGUCUUCACGGCUUCGCCACCUGCUCGCCCACCUGGGUUCCUUUUUUUCCAACAUGAAAACCAGAAGAGGUCUUUCCCACACUAUGCUUCCUUCAUGCCAUGGAAAUAAAGACAAUAAGUCCAAAGGUGUCGAACAACUUUUUUCUGCUAAAAAUAACGAAGACACAGAGGGUAGCAAGGGUGACCAAGACGGGACAGAUAGAAGAUGAAGAAAUUGUCUCAGUUUCUGCUCGUGACGAGUCUGGACACACUAGGAAGGUCCCUCCCCACAAGGAUGACAGAAACACAACGUAACUGCAUCUCCUCUUUUUUCCCUUCUUUUUUUUUUUUUUUGUCUUUUUGUCUUUUUUUUGUUGUUGUUGUUGUUGUUGCUAUUUCUUGGGCCCCUCCUGCGGCAUAUGGAGGUUCCCAGGCUAGGGGUUGAAUCGGAGCUGUAGCCACCGGCCUACGCCAGAGCCACAGCAACGCGGGAUCCGAGCCGCGUCUGCAACCUACACCACAGCUCACGGCAACGCCGGAUCGUUAACCCACUGAGCAAGGGCAGGGACCGAACCCGCAACCUCAUGGUUCCUAGUCGGAUUCGUUAACCACUGCUCCACGACGGGAACUCCUUUUUUCCCUUCUAUUCCAGAAAACAUUCACACAAACAAGCGAGAUGCAUGAAAGUGAAAUUAUUAUAGGGAUGGCUUUAUUAUUGAGAUUAGCAUAGCUGAUAUUAGAGAAAACCGCUCUAAAUUAUUUUUUUCAUAAAUCACUUGCUGUCAUGGGUACUUUAUCAUCGCCCAUAAAUGGUUUGUGAUACACUGGUGUGUUAUUAGACAGUCUAAAGGUCAUGGUUUUAGAUAAUUGCUUAGACUCUCAGGAUCACCUCCACGCUGGGGGGCACGAUCUGACUCAAGUCAGAUCGUUAUUGAGUAAUGGACCCAUUGCAGGGCACUGAAAAUACCCAGCUGUUUUCCCAGCUGCUCCUCGAAAUGCCACACGCUCCAGCUAGCUCUGUUCCCUGCCGUGGUGCUUACCACUUUCCCCUAGCUCUCCUCUCCAGAGUUAGGACCCUGGAAGUUCAAGUGGGCAUUUAUGUCUCUGCAGACCUGGGGAAUGAUUCUGUCUCUGUGUAUUUACGCUUCCUCAGAAGAGAACGUCCCAGCCAGGCUGCCCAGAGGUGGUGGCGCAGGGAGAAGGGGGAGGGUACCUGGAUUACAGAGCUAAAGAUGAUGCUUGGAAGAGAAUCGAGAGACCAACCUGGCACAGGAGGGAAGAAGAAGUGAAGUGGGGUAAACGGGCACAAGAAACCAAAAGACUCACUCGGGCCACGUUGCCACCCGGGUUCUUGGGCAGGAGAGAACCAAGGGCCUUUCUCUUUAUCCGUCUAUGUUCCAGUGCAAGGAAAUGGGACACAGAGCGUGUAUAGAUCCGCCUAAGUAAUGACCUCUGAUUCUUCCAAAGCUUCAUUCUUGAGGCUUCUCUGCUAGCAGCAUGGGCUAAACUCAUUUCUCAUUUCAACAAAUCUAUGAGGUUUGUACUACGAUUCUCCCCAUUUCAGAGAGGAGGAGGCAGAUGAAAUAACUUGCCCAAAGUCCUCCAGGUAGUAAUCGACAGGGCUGAGAAUCCGGAGCUGUCUAACUUCAAAGGCCACACACCCCUUUCCCAUUGUGCUGCAGACACUGCCGUGUAUGAACCUUAUUCAUAUUAACGCUACAGACACUGGGUCAAAAGAUGAGGACCAGGCAGGAUUUUGCAGACUGCUUUUUGCUCGCUCAGAUUUCAUGGGGUGCUCUUUCAAAAGCAAAUGCGAGUGGUUCUAAAUCAGUGGUAAGUCACCCUUUAAAGCAAACAGGGUGAGUCCAAGGACAAACAUUUUAGGUUAAACCUUUACACACCUUUGUAUAGGUGGUAAAAUUGGAAAACAAAACGUUUUUAUCAAACUAUCCAGGUGACACACAUGUUCUGCAAACAACGCGUCUUUGUUUCCGGAAAGAAAAACCAGAUGCAUUUCACAUUCACGUGCACAGCACGUGCCUUGAACGAGAAAGAAAACCAGGCAUGUGUCUAUGUGGAGCUUUACCUGUGGACUUUGAACCUGGCAGCUAUUUAUAGAACUAGUGUAUCCGUGAUUGAUGUUUUAAUCAUAGACACUCAUUUACUUAUGAAAUGAGCAAUUCCUUAUUAGAGCUGGCAGCUAACGAUUCUAGUUGCAAAUUGAACGCUGCACAAAAGGCAUCCUGUGGACAGGAGGCCCACUGGGAACAAGUUCCUUCUUAAAACUCUAUUUCUAAUAAACUAGGGGUGCUUGACAGGAGUAUGGCUAUACCUAUAUUUAUCCUUUUUUUUUUUUUUUUGUCUUUUUGCUAUUUCUUUGGGCUGCUCCCGCAGCAUAUGGAGGUUCCCAGGCUAGGGGUCGAAUCGGAGCUAUAGCCACUGGCCUACGCCAGAGCCACAGCAACGCGGGAUCCGAGCCGAGUCUGCAACCUACACCACAGCUCAUGGCAACGCCGGAUCCUUAACCCACUGAGCAAGGGCAGGGACCGAACCCGCAACCUCAUGGUUCCUAGUCAGAUUUGUUAACCACUGCGCCACAACGGGAACUCCUAUUUAUCCAUUUUUAACCUGAAAAUCCACUAAUUGUUCUAAAGUCAUGAGUUCUUAGAGUUCCCGUCAUGGCUCCGUGGUUAAUGAACCCUACUAGUAUCCCUGGGGAUGCAGUUUUGAUCCCUGGCCUCACUCGGUGGGUUAAGGAUCCAGCAUUACCCUGAGCUGUGAUGUAGGUCACAGAUGUGGCUGGGAUCCAGUGUUGCUAUGGCUGUGGUGUAGGCUGGUAGCUACAGCUCAGAUUGGACCCCUAGCCUGGGAACCUCCAUGUGCUGCAGGUGUGGCCCUCAAA
rnacentral:lncRNA from 1 species